AGCAGCCGCGGUAAUUCCAGCUCCAAUAGCGUAUAUUAAAGUUGUUGCAGUUAAAAAGCUCGUAGUUGAAUUUCGAGAUCAGUACGCUGGUCGUGCCUUCGGUAUGCACUGGUGUCACUGGUUUCUCCCUUCUGAAGAACCGUCAUGCCAUUCAGUUGGUGUGGCGGGGAAUCAGGACUGUUACUUUGAAAAAAUUAGAGUGUUUAAAGCAGGCUCGCGCUUGAAUACAUUAGCAUGGAAUAAUGAAAUAGGACGUUUGACCCUAUUCUGUUGGUUUCUAGGAUCGACGUAAUGAUUAAUAGGGAUAGUUGGGGGCAUUAGUAUUCAAUUGUCAGAGGUGAAAUUCUUGGAUUUAUUGAAGACUAACUACUGCGAAAGCAUUUGCCAAGGAUGUUUUCAUUAAUCAAGAACGAAAGUUAGGGGAUCGAAGACGAUCAGAUACCGUCGUAGUCUUAACCAUAAACUAUGCCGACUAGGGAUCGGAUGAUGUUAAUUUUUAAUGA
rnacentral:rRNA from 1 species